rnacentral:rRNA from 1 species
UACGAGGGGGGGCGAGCGUUGUUCGGAAUUAUUGGGCGUAAAGGGUGCGUAGGCGGUUUGGUAAGUCUUGUGUGAAAUCUCCAGGCUCAACUUGGAGUCUGCACGAGAAACUGCCGGGCUUGAGUGUGGGAGAGGUGAGUGGAAUUCCUGGUGUAGCGGUGAAAUGCGUAGAUAUCAGGAGGAACACCGGUGGUGUAGACGGCUUUCUGGACCGUAACUGACGCUGAGACACGAAAGCGUGGGUAGCAAACAGG